rnacentral:rRNA from 1 species
UCGGGAAUUUUGGGCAAUGGGCGAAAGCCUGAUCCAGCAACGCCGCGUGAAGGAUGAAGUAUUUCGGUAUGUAAACUUCGAAAGAAUAGGAAGAAUAAAUGACGGUACUAUUUAUAAGGUCCGGCUAACUACGUGCCAGCAGCCGCGGUAAUACGUAGGGACCAAGCGUUGUUCGGAUUUACUGGGCGUAAAGGGCGCGUAGGCGGCAAUUCAAGUCAUCUGUGAAAUCUCCGGGCUUAACUCGGAACGGUCAGAUGAUACUGCUUUGCUAGAGUGCAGAAGGGGCAAUCGGAAUUCUUGGUGUAGCGGUGAAAUGCGUAGAUAUCAAGAGGAACACCUGAGGUGAAGACGGGUUGCUGGGCUGACACUGACGCUGAGGCGCGAAAGCCAGGGGAGCAAACGGGAUUAGAUACCCCAGUAGUCCCUGAGCGGGCUGGCAAGGCGCAU